rnacentral:rRNA from 1 species
GCUGGCGGCAGGCCUAAUACAUGCAAGUCGAGCGCACCUUCGGGUGAGCGGCGGACGGGUGAGUAACGCGUGGGAACGUGCCCUUUGGUUCGGAACAACACAGGGAAACUUGUGCUAAUACCGAAUGUGCCCUUCGGGGGAAAGAUUUAUCGCCAUUGGAGCGGCCCGCGUUGGAUUAGGUAGUUGGUGGGGUAAAGGCCCACCAAGCCGACGAUCCAUAGCUGGUCUGAGAGGAUGAUCAGCCACACUGGGACUGAGACACGGCCCAGACUCCUACGGGAGGCAGCAGUAGGGAAUCUUGCGCAAUGGGCGAAAGCCUGACGCAGCCAUGCCGCGUGAAUGAUGAAGGUCUUAGGAUUGUAAAAUUCUUUCACCGGGGAAGAUAAUGACGGUACCCGGAGAAGAAGCCCCGGCUAACUUCGUGCCAGCAGCCGCGGUAAUACGAAGGGGGCUAGCGUUGCUCGGAAUUACUGGGCGUAAAGGGCGCGUAGGCGGAUAGUUUAGUCAGAGGUGAAAGCCCAGGGCUCAACCUUGGAACUGCCUUUGAUACUGGCUAUCUUGAGUUCGGGAGAGGUGAGUGGAAUGCCGAGUGUAGAGGUGAAAUUCGUAGAUAUUCGGCGGAACACCAGUGGCGAAGGCGACUCACUGGCCCGAUACUGACGCUGAG